rnacentral:rRNA from 1 species
AACGAACGCUGGCGGCAGGCCUAAUACAUGCAAGUCGAACGCACCGCAAGGUGAGUGGCAGACGGGUGAGUAACGCGUGGGAACCUUCCUAGUAGUACGGAAUAACUCCGGGAAACCGGUGCUAAUACCGUAUAAGCCCUCCGGGGGAAAGAUUAUCGCUACUAGAUGGGCCCGCGUCGGAUUAGCUUGUUGGUGAGGUAAUGGCUCACCAAGGCUUCGAUCCGUAGCUGGUCUGAGAGGAUGAUCAGCCACACUGGGACUGAGACACGGCCCAGACUCCUACGGGAGGCAGCAGUAGGGAAUAUUGGACAAUGGGCGAAAGCCUGAUCCAGCCAUGCCGCGUGAGUGAAGAAGGCCUUAGGGUUGUAAAGCUCUUUUGGCGGGGAAGAUAAUGACGGUACCCGCAGAAUAAGCUCCGGCUAACUUCGUGCCAGCAGCCGC